UACAGAGGGUGCGAGCGUUGUCCGGAAUCAUUGGGCGUAAAGGGCGCGUAGGUGGCCCGGUCAGUCAGUGGUGAAAGCGCGGGGCUCAACUCCGCGUCGGCCAUUGAUACUGCUGGGCUUGAGCACUGUAGAGGCAGGCGGAAUUCCGGGUGUAGCGGUGGAAUGCGUAGAGAUCCGGAAGAACACCGGUGGCGAAGGCGGCCUGCUGGGCAGUAGCUGACACUGAGGCGCGACAGCGUGGGGAGCA
rnacentral:rRNA from 1 species